UUGGCCAUGCAUUUAACCUUACACCCAGUAGAGACCAAGUGCAGACAGUUUUACAGAGGUGAUUCCAAAUCACAGAAUACCAAAGUCAGUGAAAUAUGGAGAAGCCAAGCCAGAUUGGCCAUGCAUUUAACCUUACACCCAGUAGAGACCAAGUGCAGACAGUUUUACAGAGGUGAUUCCAAAUCACAGAAUACCAAAGUCAGUGAAAUAUGGAGAAGCCAAGCCAGAUUGGCCAUGCAUUUAACCUUACACCCAGUAGAGACCAAGUGCAGACAGUUUUACAGAGGUGAUUCCAAAUCACAGAAUACCAAAGUCAGUGAAAUAUGGAGAAGCCAAGCCAGAUUGGCCAUGCAUAUAGCCUUACACCCAGUAGAGACCAAGUGCAGACAGUUUUACAGAGGUGAUUCCAAAUCACAGAAUACCAA